rnacentral:misc_RNA from 1 species
GAUGAAGAACGCAGCGAAAUGCGAUAAGUAAUGUGAAUUGCAGAAUUCAGUGAAUCAUCGAAUCUUUGAACGCACCUUGCGCCCUUUGGCCAUUCCGAAGGGCAUGCCUGUUUGAGUAUCAUGAACACCUGAACUCUUCAUGGUUUUCCGUGAUGAGCUUGGACUUUGGGGGUCUUGCUGGCCUAUGGUCAGCUCCUCUAAAAUAAAUCAGCUUGCCAGUGUUUGGUGGGUAUCACAGGUGUGAUAACUAUCUACGCUUGUGGUUUUCCACCAGGUAACCUUCAGCAGUGGAGGUUCGCUGGAGCUCACAGAUGUGUCUCUCCUCAGUGAGGACAGCUCUUUGAAUGUUUGAUCUCAAAUCAGGUAGGACUACCCGCUGAACUUAAGCAUAUCAAUAAGCGGAGGA